rnacentral:rRNA from 1 species
GUUCGGAAUCACUGGGCGUAAAGGGCGCGUCGGCGGCCGAUCAAGUCGGGGGUGAAAGCCUGUGGCUCAACCACAGAAUUGCCUUCGAUACUGUUUGGCUUGAGACCGGAAGAGGUUAGUGGAACUGCGAGUGUAGAGGUGAAAUUCGUAGAUAUUCGCAAGAACACCAGUGGCGAAGGCGGCUGACUGGUCCGGUUCUGACGCUGAGGCGCGAAAGCGUGGGGAGCAAACAGG